UUUCAAAUUUUAGAGCUAAUCUUUAAUCUUUAUGGUUUCAAUUAUAUAGCAUGAUAAAAGUAUUGGUAAAGAGAUGAAUACGAUUGAACUCUUACAUCAUACUCGGCAUAAUAAAGGCAAUGGAUAGAUAUGCAAGGAAGCUAAAGAAGCUUAUAUAAGAGAACAUAUUAUAUUUUAUAAAAUAAAUUUUAUAUCAUCUUACUUGAAAGGUUAAAUUAAUAUCCAUUACUUUUUCUUUUUUUUUUAAGAAUAAAAUGGAAGAGCUACAAUCUUAGCCCACAAAAAAGGAUGAGGCUCCUAUGAGUCAUAAUGAAGUAUAUGGUCAUGUUCUUGGGACA
rnacentral:lncRNA from 1 species